AGGUGGGGGCACCCUGACCGCCUGCCGCGUGAGUGAAGAAGGCCUUCGGGUUGUAAAGCUCUUUCGGACGGAACGAAAUGGGCGGGACUAAUACUCCUGUCUGAUGACGGUACCGUAAGAAGAAGCACCGGCUAACUACGUGCCAGCAGCCGCGGUAAUACGUAGGGUGCGAGCGUUAAUCGGAAUUACUGGGCGUAAAGCGUGCGCAGGCGGUUUCGUAAGCUGGAGGUGAAAUCCCCGGGCUUAACCUGGGAAUGGCCUUCAGGACUGCGAGGCUAGAGUGCGGCAGAGGGAGGUGGAAUUCCACGUGUAGCAGUGAAAUGCGUAGAGAUGUGGAGGAACACCGAUGGCGAAGGCAGCCUCCUGGGCCAGCACUGACGCUCACGCACGAAA
rnacentral:rRNA from 1 species